rnacentral:rRNA from 1 species
UACAGAGGGGGCAAGCGUUGUUCGGAAUUACUGGGCGUAAAGGGCGCGUAGGCGGCCUUCUAAGUCGAACGUGAAAUCCCCGGGCUCAACCCGGGAACUGCGUCCGAUACUGGAAGGCUUGAAUCCGGGAGAGGGAUGUGGAAUUCCAGGUGUAGCGGUGAAAUGCGUAGAUAUCUGGAGGAACACCGGUGGCGAAGGCGACAUCCUGGACCGGUACUGACGCUGAUGCGCGAAAGCGUGGGGAGCAAACAGG